rnacentral:rRNA from 1 species
GACGAACGCUGGCGGCGUGCUUAACACAUGCAAGUCGAACGGAAAGGCCCUGCUUUUGUGGGGUGCUCGAUUGGCGAACGGGGGAGUAACACGUGAGUAACCUGCCCUUGACUUUGGGAUAACUUCAGGAAACUGGGGCGCAUACAGGAUAGGAGCUCCUGCUGCACGGGGGGGGAUGGAAAGUUUCGGCGGUUGGGGAUGGACUCGCGGCUUAUCAGCUUGUUGGGGGGGUAGGGGCGUUCCAGGGCUUUGACGGGUAGCCGGCCUGAGAGAGUGACCGGCCACCUUGGGCCUGCGGUACGGCCCAGACUCCUACGGGACGCAGCAGUGGGGAAUAUUGCACAAUGGGCCGAAGCCUGAUGCAGCAGCGCCGCGUGCGGGAUGACGGCCUUCGGGUUGUAAACCGCUUUCGCCUGUGCCGAGGCGUGCGUGACGGUAAUGGGUCAAGAAGCCCCGGCUAACUACGUG